rnacentral:lncRNA from 1 species
UCCCUCAAAAUUCAUGCAUCGAAACUUAAUUACCAAUGUGAUGAAGAGGUGGACAUUUAGGAGGUGAGUAGGUCAUGUGGGCUCUGCCCUCAUGGAUAGGGUUUAUGCCUUAUACAAGAGGCUUCAGAGAUCUGCCUCCCACUUCCUUCCGUACUUGCCUAUAUGAGGACACCUAGACAGCACCAUCUAUGAGGAACAGGUCCUCGCCAGAUACUGAACCUGCUGGUACCUCAUCUGGGACUUCCAUCCUCCAGAACUCUCCUGUGCAUUCUUCAGCUACAAGGAACCUUUACCAACUCCCUUCAGUGCUCCCUUAACAUCUUGAGUUAAUAAUAAGCAUGGCUAUGACUGGGAUGAGACUGAAAGGCCACCCCUGCUUUCCUGA